rnacentral:rRNA from 1 species
UAGGGAAUCUUCGGCAAUGGGGGGAACCCUUGACCGAGCAACGCCGCGUGAGUGAAGAAGGUUUUCGGAUCGUAAAGCUCUGUUGUUAAGGAAGAACGAGUGUGAGAAUGGAAAGUUCAUACUGUGACGGUACUUAACCAGAAAGGGACGGCUAACUACGUGCCAGCAGCCGCGGUAAUACGUAGGUCCCGAGCGUUGUCCGGAUUUAUUGGGCGUAAAGCGAGCGCAGGCGGUUAGAAAAGUCUGAAGUGAAAGGCAGUGGCUCAACCAUUGUAGGCUUUGGAAACUGUUUAACUUGAGUGCAGAAGGGGAGAGUGGAAUUCCAUGUGUAGCGGUGAAAUGCGUAGAUAUAUGGAGGAACACCGGUGGCGAAAGCGGCUCUCUGGUCUGUAACUGACGCUGAGGCUCGAAAGCGUGGGGAGCGAACAGGAUUAGAUACCCUGGUAGUCCACGCCGUAAACGAUGAGUGCUAGGUGUUAGGUCCUUUCCGGGACUUAGUGCCGCAGCUAACGCAUUAAGCACUCCGCCUGGGGAGUACGACCGCAAGNUUG